rnacentral:rRNA from 1 species
UACGAAGGGGGCUAGCGUUGCUCGGAAUCACUGGGCGUAAAGCGCACGUAGGCGGCUUUAGUUAGUCAGGGGUGAAAUCCUGGAGCUCAACUCCAGAACUGCCUUUGAUACUGGACGAUCUUCGAGUCCGGGAGAGGUGAGUGGAACUGCGAGUGUAGAGGUGAAAUUCGUAGAUAUUCGCAAGAACACCAGUGGCGAAGGCGGCUCACUGGCCCGGUACUGACGCUGAGGUGCGAAAGCGUGGGGAGCAAACAGG